rnacentral:rRNA from 1 species
GAACUGAAACAUCUAAGUACCCCGAGGAAAAGAAAUCAACCGAGAUUCCCCCAGUAGCGGCGAGCGAACGGGGAGGAGCCCAGAGCCUGAAUCAGCAUGUGUGUUAGUGGAAGCGUCUGGAAAGGCGCGCGAUACAGGGUGACAGCCCCGUACACAAAAGCGCAUGUGCUGUGAGCUCGAUGAGUAGGGCGGGACACGUGGUAUCCUGUCUGAAUAUGGGGGGACCAUCCUCCAAGGCUAAAUACUCCUGACUGACCGAUAGUGAACCAGUACCGUGAGGGAAAGGCGAAAAGAACCCCGGCGAGGGGAGUGAAAAAGAACCUGAAACCGUGUACGUACAAGCAGUGGGAGCACCCUUCGGGGUGUGACUGCGUACCUUUUGUAUAAUGGGUCAGCGACUUAUAUUCUGUAGCAAGGUUAACCGAAUAGGGGAGCCGGAGGGAAACCGAGUCUUAACCGGGCGUUAAGUUGCAGGGUAUAGACCCGAAACCCGGUGAUCUAGCCAUGGGCAGGUUGAAGGUUGGGUAACACUAACUGGAGGACCGAACCGACUAAUGUUGAAAAAUUAGCGGAUGACCUGUGGCUGGGGGUGAAAGGCCAAUCAAACCGGGAGAUAGCUGGUUCUCCCCGAAAGCUAUUUAGGUAGCGCCUCGUGAAUUCAUCUCCGGGGGUAGAGCACUGUUUCGGCUAGGGGGCCAUCCCGGCUUACCAACCCGAUGCAAACUGCGAAUAC